CUGAGAACGAUGUCUUGGAUUUCAUAGGAGACGACAUCAUGAUCAUCUACAUCCUUAAUGGCUGGAGUCAGGGAUUCAAGAAUAUAGCCAUUCUCACAGAGAGUCAUCAAGGUGGUGUGCUUCAAGAAGGCUUCAGCCUUGACUUCCACUCACAUAAAACAGAUCCCAGAUGGAUUGGUCCAGCACAGAAGUUUUUUCUGCCCAAAACCACAUCUGGGAAAUCCCCAUCUUGGUACAAUUUGUUAUUUAUCUACCACAUACUCUGCAUUUUGUUACAUGCUAGAGACAGAAUUGUAAGAAAGGCUGCUGUCCUCACUCCCAUUAUGGAAUUUGACUCCAAAGGGAGAGCCUUCCAUUUCACACAGAUUAAUAUAAAUUUUAAUUGCAAAAGUCCUUCCAAGAGACCACAAGAACUUCCAGAUUGUGCAUGAUUUCCUGAGAAAGUGGCAUCUAGCUUGAAGGCACAGAUGAAUAAAACAUACUUACAAAAUGA